rnacentral:rRNA from 1 species
UAGGGAAUCUUCCACAAUGGACGCAAGUCUGAUGGAGCAACGCCGCGUGAGUGAAGAAGGUUUUCGGACCGUAAAGCUCUGUUGUUGGUGAAGAAGGAUAGAGGUAGUAACUGGCCUUUAUUUGACGGUAAUCAACCAGAAAGUCACGGCUAACUACGUGCCAGCAGCCGCGGUAAUACGUAGGUGGCAAGCGUUGUCCGGAUUUAUUGGGCGUAAAGCGAGCGCAGGCGGAAGAAUAAGUCUGAUGUGAAAGCCCUCGGCUUAACCGAGGAAUUGCAUCGGAAACUGUUUUCUUGAGUGCAGAAGAGGAGAGUAGAACUCCAUGUGUAGCGGUGGAAUGCGUAGAUAUAUGGAAGAAUGCCAGUGGCGAAGGCGGCUCUCUGGUCUGCAACUGACGCUGAGGCUCGAAAGCAUGGGUAGCGAACAGGAUUAGAUACCCUGGUAGUCCAUGCCGUAAACGAUGAGUGCUAAGUGUUGGGAGGCUUCCGCCUCUCAGUGCUGCAGCUAACGCAUUAAGCACUCCGCCUGGGGGAGUACGACCGCAAGGUUGAAAC